rnacentral:rRNA from 1 species
UACGGAAGGCAGCAGUGGGGAAUAUUGCACAAUGGGCGCAAGCCUGAUGCAGCCAUGCCGCGUGUAUGAAGAAGGCCUUCGGGUUGUAAAGUACUUUCAGUCGUGAGGAAGGUGUUAAGGUUAAUAACCUUAGCAAUUGACGUUAGCGACAGAAGAAGCACCGGCUAACUCCGUGCCAGCAGCCGCGGUAAUACGGAGGGUGCGAGCGUUAAUCGGAAUUACUGGGCGUAAAGGGCACGCAGGCGGUUAAUUAAAUUGGAUGUGAAAUCCCCGGGCUUAACCUGGGAAUGGCAUUCAAGACUGGUUAGCUAGAGUCUUGUAGAGGGGGUUAGAAUUCCAUGUGUAGCGGUGAAAUGCGUAGAGAUGUGGAGGAAUACCGGUGGCGAAGGCGGCCCCUGGACAAAGACUGACGCUCAUGUGCGAAAGCGUGGGGAGCAAAC